UACGUAGGGUGCGAGCGUUGUCCGGAAUUACUGGGCGUAAAGAGCUCGUAGGUGGUUUGUCGCGUUGUUCGUGAAAACCGGAGGCUCAACCUCUGGCGUGCGGGCGAUACGGGCAGACUUGAGUACUGCAGGGGAGACUGGAAUUCCUGGUGUAGCGGUGGAAUGCGCAGAUAUCAGGAGGAACACCGGUGGCGAAGGCGGAUCUCUGGGCCUUACCUGACGCUGAGGCGCGAAAGCUAGGGGAGCGAACAGG
rnacentral:rRNA from 1 species